AUAUCAUAAGAUGCAGCGUGUUUCGGAGAAGGUUUUGAUAUAUGAUAUGUUGGUGAUUACUUAUCGCGUAAAAAAUAUAGACGGACAGAGUUCGCUAGUAAGUUAUUAAAAUAUUAAA